UACGGGGGAUGCAAGCGUUAUCCGGAUUUAUUGGGUUUAAAGGGUGCGUAGGCUGUGAGGUAAGUCAGCGGUGAAAUGCCCCCGCUCAACGGGGUGAAGUGCCAUUGAUACUGCCUUGCUGGAAUGCGGAUGCCGUGGGAGGAAUGUGUGGUGUAGCGGUGAAAUGCAUAGAUAUCACACAGAACACCGAUUGCGAAGGCAUCUCACGAAUCCGCGAUUGACGCUGAGGCACGAAAGCAUGGGUAUCAAACAGG
rnacentral:rRNA from 1 species